AACCCUGAUGCAGCUAUACCGUGUGUGUGAAGAAGGCCUUAGGGUUGUAAAGCACUUUCAAUGGGGAAGAAUUUAAUAUUGCUAAUAUCGAUAUUAGUUGACGUUACCUAUAUAAGAAGCACCGGCUAACUCCGUGCCAGCAGCCGCGGUAAUACGGAGGGUGCAAGCGUUAAUCGGAAUUACUGGGCGUAAAGAGUACGUAGGUGGUUCGUUAAGUCAGAUGUGAAAUCCCUGAGCUUAACUUAGGAACUGCAUUUGAAACUAAUAAACUAGAGUUUCGUAGAGGGGGGUAGAAUUCCAGGUGUAGCGGUGAAAUGCGUAGAGAUCUGGAGGAAUACCAGUGGCGAAGGCGACCCCCUGGACGGAAACUGACACUCAGGUACGAAAGCAUGGGGAGCAAACAGGAUUAGAUACCCUGGUAGUCCAUGCCGUAAACGAUGUCGAUUUGAA
rnacentral:rRNA from 1 species